rnacentral:rRNA from 1 species
AUGAACGCUGGCGGCGUGCUUAACACAUGCAAGUCGAACGAUGAAGCCCAGCUUGCUGGGUGGAUUAGUGGCGAACGGGUGAGUAACACGUGAGUAACCUGCCCUUAACUCUGGGAUAAGCCUGGGAAACUGGGUCUAAUACCGGACAGGAGCGUCCACCGCAUGGUGGGUGUUGGAAAGAUUUAUCGGUUUUGGAUGGACUCGCGGCCUAUCAGCUUGUUGGUGAGGUAAUGGCUCACCAAGGCGACGACGGGUAGCCGGCCUGAGAGGGUGACCGGCCACACUGGGACUGAGACACGGCCCAGACUCCUACGGGAGGCAGCAGUGGGGAAUAUUGCACAAUGGGCGCAAGCCUGAUGCAGCGACGCCGCGUGAGGGAUGACGGCCUUCGGGUUGUAAACCUCUUUCAGUAGGGAAGAAGCGAAAGUGACGGUACCUGCAGAAGAAGCACCGGCUAACUACGUG